rnacentral:rRNA from 1 species
AUGAGUAAAGCUCUAAGCCCUCGCUAUCAAGGCCUCUCAACCUAUGAGAAGGAGUAUUUAGUGAUCAUAGUGGCAGUGGAUCAAUGGAGGUCGUAUCUUCAGCAUGCUAAAUUUGUGAUUCACAUAGACCAGAGAAGUUUGGUGCACCUCGAAGAGCACCGUCUCACCACCCCAUGGCAACAGAAAGCAUUUACCAAACCCCUAGGCCUCUAG